rnacentral:rRNA from 1 species
GACGAACGCUGGCGGCGUGCUUAACACAUGCAAGUCGAACGGAAAGGCCCUGCUUUUGUGGGGUGCUCGAGUGGCGAACGGGUGAGUAACACGUGAGUAACCUGUCCUUGACUUUGGGAUAACUUCAGGAAACUGGGGCUAAUACCGGAUAGGAGCUCCUGCUGCAUGGUGGGGGUUGGAAAGUUUCGGCGGUUGGGGAUGGACUCGCGGCUUAUCAGCUUGUUGGUGGGGUAGUGGCUUACCAAGGCUUUGACGGGUAGCAGGCCUGAGAGGGUGACCGGCCACAUUGGGACUGAGAUACGGCCCAGACUCCUACGGGAGGCAGCAGUGGGGAAUAUUGCACAAUGGGCGGAAGCCUGAUGCAGCAACGCCGCGUGCGGGAUGACGGCCUUCGGGUUGUAAACCGCUUUCGCCUGUGACGAAGCGUGAGUGACGGUAAUGGGUAAAGAAGCACCGGCUAACUACGUG